rnacentral:rRNA from 1 species
UACGUAGGGUGCGAGCGUUGUCCGGAAUUAUUGGGCGUAAAGAGCUUGUAGGCGGUUUGUCGCGUCUGCUGUGAAAAUCCGGGGCUCAACCCCGGACUUGCAGUGGGUACGGGCAGACUAGAGUGUGGUAGGGGAGACUGGUAUUCCUGGUGUAGCGGUGGAAUGCGCAGAUAUCAGGAGGAACACCGAUGGCGAAGGCAGGUCUCUGGGCCACUACUGACGCUGAGAAGCGAAAGCAUGGGGAGCGAACAGG